rnacentral:lncRNA from 1 species
AAUCAAUUACCUCUUGAAUGUAUCGUCUCUAUUUCUAAUAUCUGAACACACAAGGAAACUAUAAUCUCCUCCUUCACCUUAUCGAUCUCUUUGUUACAGCACUUCAGGUAUACCAAUAACUGCUAUUUUUACCAAUAUAUUCACCCUCAUAAUCUCCAACUGUAAUACUUCGCCCUCACAGCUUUUAUCACACAAUUAUCCUUGUUCCAAUCACUGAAUUCUUCACACAGAACUGCCAUUCAUAUUACAAUAUUUCACACAAACACAGACUCAUUCUUUCUACUCAACUACAAUCAGAUUUCAGCAUUCAAUCUUUCUUCUUCUCAAAUAAUACCAAUCACAUUUCCAUUCUAUACUUCACUUCACAAUAUUCAGAACCUCUCAAUCCUCUUAUUUAAAGAAAAUAACAAACAAAAGAAAAGAGGUAGCACUAAGCUUACCUCGGCUCACACUAUCACAGCGAU